GACGAACGCUGGCGGCGUGCUUAACACAUGCAAGUCGAGCGGUAAGGCCCUUUCGGGGGUACACGAGCGGCGAACGGGUGAGUAACACGUGGGUGACCUGCCCUCAGCUCUGGGAUAAGCCUGGGAAACCGGGUCUAAUACCGGAUAUGACUCCAUGACGCAUGUUGUGGGGUGGAAAGCCUUGUGCGGCUGAGGAUGGGCCCGCGGCCUAUCAGCUUGUUGGUGGGGUGAUGGCCUACCAAGGCGACGACGGGUAGCCGGCCUGAGAGGGCGACCGGCCACACUGGGACUGAGACACGGCCCAGACUCCUACGGGAGGCAGCAGUGGGGAAUCUUGCGCAAUGGGCGAAAGCCUGACGCAGCGACGCCGCGUGGGGAAGAAGGCCUCGG
rnacentral:rRNA from 1 species